UGGGGAAUAUUGCACAAUGGGGGAAACCCUGAUGCAGCGACGCCGCGUGAACGAAGAAGGUAUUCGUAUCGUAAAGUUCUGUCCUAUGGGAAGAUAAUGACAGUACCAUAGAAGAAAGCUCCGGCUAAAUACGUGCCAGCAGCCGCGGUAAUACGUAUGGAGCGAGCGUUGUCCGGAAUUAUUGGGCGUAAAGGGUACGCAGGCGGAAAUGCAAGUCAGGUGUAAAAGGCAGUAGCUUAACUACUGUAAGCAUUUGAAACUGCAUAUCUUGAGAAGAGUAGAGGUAAGUGGAAUUUUUAGUGUAGCGGUGAAAUGCGUAGAUAUUAAAAAGAAUACCGGUGGCGAAGGCGACUUACUGGGCUCAUUCUGACGCUGAGGAACGAAAGCGUGGGUAGCAAACAGG
rnacentral:rRNA from 1 species